rnacentral:rRNA from 1 species
AGAGUUUGAUCCUGGCUCAGGAUUAACGCUAGCGGCAGGCCUAAUACAUGCAAGUCGAACGGUAACAUGAGUAGCAAUACUUGAUGACGAGUGGCGCACGGGUGCGUAACGCGUAUGUAACUUACCUCUAACUGGGGGAUAGCUCCGAGAAAUCGGAAUUAAUACCGCAUAACAUUGUGAGAAGACAUCUUCUUAUAAUCAAAACUCCGGUGGUUAGAGAUAGACAUGCGUGACAUUAGCUAGUUGGUGAGGUAAUAGCUCACCAAGGCUACGAUGUCUAGGGGGUCUGAGAGGAUGAUCCCCCACACUGGUACUGAGACACGGACCAGACUCCUACGGGAGGCAGCAGUAAGGAAUAUUGGACAAUGGGGGCAACCCUGAUCCAGCCAUGCCGCGUGAAGGAUGAAGGCCCUAUGGGUCGUAAACUUCUUUUAUACGGGAAAAAUCUCCCGAUUUCUAUCGGGAUUGAUGGUACUGUAAGAAUAAGGAUCGGCUAACUCCGUGCCAGCAGCCGCGGUAAUAUGGAGGAUCCAAGCGUUAUCCGGAUUUAUUGGGUUUAAAGGGUGCGUAGGUGGACUUGUAAGUCAGAGGUGAAAUCCUGUAGCUUAACUACAGAAUUGCCUUUGAUACUGCAAGCCUUGAGUACAGUUGAGGUGGGCGGAAUGUGUCAUGUAGCGGUGAAAUGCUUAGAGAUGACACAGAACACCGAUUGCGAAGGCAGCUCGCUAAACUGUAACUGACACUGAGGCACGAAAGCGUGGGUAGCAAACAGGAUUAGAUACCCUGGUAGUCCACGCCCUAAACGAUGAUUACUCGAUGUGUGCGAUAUACUGUACGCGUCCAAGCGAAAGCAUUAAGUAAUCCACCUGGGGAAUACGGUCGCAAGAUUGAAACUCAAAGGAAUUGACGG